CGUGAAAGUCUGGCCGGUUGUAUUGUUGUUGUAACACGAUGACCUUGUCAGACAAUAACCCACCGGCUGAAGGCGAAAAAGCCCAGUCGCGCGCUGAGAUUUGAGUUGACACAUGCUCUCAGUUACGCUUCAUCGCUCGCGCCCCAUUCCACAGAUAAUUCUCCCCUUUGCUGCCAGGUGGCACUCUCUGACCAGAGAAAUAAAGUUGACUUACGUCAAUGUAGAAUUGUUUUGUAUGGACUUGGUAGAUUAGCAUGCCUAAGCAAACGACUUGGUGUAAGGUUUAUUGUAGCCUAGCUUUCUAUGAGGCAUAUGGUCACUGCCAUUGAUCGAUUUGAAAACAACUGAAUAUUAGACUACCUAUAUUCCUUCUUUAAGCGCAUUGACAACUGCGUAGUAAGCUGCCUUCUUGGUCAAUAUACUUGUAUGCCUACAUUCCGGAAAUACUCUUGACCAAAAUUGUUGAACUGACUACCUGAACGGUUGUCGUUCACCUGCAAGAACUCCAACGCCGACCUCAGCGCAAGGUGCGUUUGAGGGAAAGGAGGAGGUCCCUAAUAGCAGCGAAAGCAUAAAGUUACACUGCUCAAUUUGAAGUGAAACGUUAUUGACGGACUCACGGGAUUCACGUAAAGCGAAGUAGAAACCGCAAGUGGCAAAAAUACAGGUUAUGCUUACUGCAAGAGACCAUAGCGCGAGGGCAGGACAGAGGGCCUCCCCUUGUAUGAGCAUCAUGCAGUAGAGCAGAGAGCGGCUACUUCAACCAGAGUGUGUGGGAGUGAAAGGACCCGAGGGCGUCAUGGCUGUCUUUAAAUUAGAGAAUGUGGAGGACCUGUACGAGAUCGGGGAGGUGCUGGGCAGGUUAGAGACCAUUUUAACAAACCAUUAAUAGAGUUCUUAAAUUCCUGUGGUAUAUCGUAUAUAUAAACUACAGAAUGUAGAGGACCUGUAUGAGAUCGGUGAGGUGCUGGGCAGGUGAGAGACCAUUUUAACAAACCAUUAAUAGAGUUCUUAAAUUCCUGUGGUAUAUCGUAUAAAACCUACACAAGCUAAGGUUGUCUUGGUAUGUGGCCAUGUUUGGCCAGC
ensembl:lncRNA